AUACGUAGGUGGCAAGCGUUAUCCGGAAUUAUUGGGCGUAAAGGGUGCGUAGGCGGUUGAUUAAGUUUUAGGUGAAAGCGUGGGGCUCAACCCCAUAUAGCCUAAGAAACUGGUCGACUAGAGUACAGGAGAGGGCAAUGGAAUUCCAUGUGUAGCGGUAAAAUGCGUAGAUAUAUGGAGGAACACCAGUGGCGAAGGCGGUUGCCUGGCCUGUAACUGACGCUGAAGCACGAAAGCGUGGGGAGCAAAUAGGAUUAGAUACCCUAGUAGUCCACGCCGUAAACGAUGAAUACUAAGUGUUGGGGAAACUCAGUGCUGCAGUUAACGCAAUAAGUAUUCCGCCUGGGGAGUAUGCACGCAAGUGUGAA
rnacentral:rRNA from 1 species